AAAACGACUCUCGGCAACGGAUAUCUCGGCUCUCGCAUCGAUGAAGAACGUAGCGAAAUGCGAUACUUGGUGUGAAUUGCAGAAUCCCGUGAACCAUCGAGUCUUUGAACGCAAGUUGCGCCCGAAGCCAUCUGGUCGAGGGCACGUCUGCCUGGGCGUCAAAC
rnacentral:rRNA from 2 species